AUGGGAGGAGGGGAUCCGUUCGAUGGUGUCGACUGGCCAACAGAAGCUUCAAAGGGUCAGCCAGGGUUGACUUCACGGCUGUCAGUGAAGCACGUUGUCGAGGUCAUCCAAAAGUUUGAUGAUUACAAGUGGUGGCUUGUAUCCGAGAUUGGUUUUGAGAGGAUGCUGAAACUGCCAUUGUUGCAAAAGAUAGAUCUAAGGAUGAGUGCAGGGGUUAUGAGGAAGGUGGAGGUGAAAUCGCGUGUAAUUUCUAUUGAUAAAGACCGGUUGCUUUUGUUCACAUCAGAGGAUUUUCAUAAAAAUUUUGGUGUUCCUUGUGGCAAUCAGGUUAUUCGUGGAAGGGAUGGUGAAAUCAGGAGUGCAGAAAUAGAGUUUGUUAAGCAGACAAUUGGUAUGAAUGGAUCAGCUGCUCAUAAUCUUAAGGUUGCAGAAGAUUUGAUAAACAGGGAUAUUUCAGAAGAGUCGACCAAGCUUGAGAAGGAUUGCUUUCAGAUAUCAUUUGUUAUUUUUUUCAUGGGAUAUCUUUUGUCACCUGGCAUGAAGCAUGAGUACAAGAUGAUAGACUUCUGGGGUGCUUUGGCGAAUCCAGAGUUGAUAUCCCAAUUCAAUUGGUGUGAGUAUGCUCUUCAGGAUCUGAUGGCAGCUGUGAUGAUGUUGCAGGCGGAGUAUGACAAGAAGGCGCAGAUAGUUCACCUAUUUGGAUGCCAUCUAUUCUUCCAGGUAUACUGCAAGUUAUGCUUUCUAAAAAUUUAA
rnacentral:rRNA from 1 species